GCCAGUGUGGCAGAAUGGUUUGAGCAUUGGACUACAACUGUGGAGAACAGGGUUCAAAUCCCCACUCAGGCA